AAUAAGUGCACACAUUCAGUUCCGAUCGUCACAUCAUACGGUUGCUUUCCGAUAUAAGAGAAAUGAAUAAUACUAGUUAAACGGUGAUAUUUUGUUGUAAACAAAAGUAAAUUUAUAAAAUCAAUACAGUGCAAUUACCUAUCAUGGACUGUUUGCAAUAUAUAUCUUAUUCCUGAACAAAAGAGCUCGAUCCACGAGUAAUCGAUCUACCAUUAGUUGUUCCUUCCUAUCAAGUACCACUUAUAAUAUUCAUAUAUCUGUACUUCAUGCUUGACUGUGGACCUAAAUUCAUGAAAAACAGGCUGCUACGAGUUGAAAACGUUCAUACAACUGUACAAUAUUAUUCAAAUAUUGGCAAAUACGUGGUUAAUUUACGAUAUAAUUGACACUGGUUUGUUCUCGAGCAAGAUAAUAUGUCCUGUUCUUGAUUUUUCGUAUGAUCGUAUUCCAAUGAAGCACACUAGAUGUGCAUGGUACUACUUUUGGUUAAAAAUAUGUGAUCUCGUCGAAACAGGCAUAUUUAUAUUAAGGAAGAAAGGCAAUCAGGUAUCUGGUUUGCAUUUGUAUCAUCACGCCUCUACUUUAUUUGUAUCGUGGUUAUGUGUAAGAUAUUAAUCUGUUGUUCCCUUAUUUGCUUCUUGCACAAUCAACUGCUUGAUACACGUAAUAAUGUACAUAUACUACUUUCUAACAUCCUGUGGACCGAACGUUCAAAAAAUUGUUGCACCUAUAAAACAAUGGAUAACUACAACGCAACUGAUACAAUUCAUCGUGCUAAUAUUGUCGCAUCCAUUAACACUACGUUAUCCACGAGUAUCCAAUCUACUGUUCGUUGAUUCUGUCUAUCGAAUACUACUAAUAAUAUUCGCAUAUCUAUACUUCGUGCUCAUUUAUGGGCCUAAAUUCAUGAAAAACAGGCCACCAUACAAAUUAAAGAUGUUUAUACAAUUGUAUAAUAUCAUUCAAAUUUUCGUAAAUACGCUUAUGAUUAACGGUGCAAUUGACAUUACUAUAGGUGGAGAGAUUUAUUUAUUGUUAAAAAUAUUUGAUUUGGUCGAAACAGUCUUAUUUAUAUUAAGAAAGAAAGACAAUCAGAUUUCAGUUGUAAAUUCAUCGGAUUUCUUUGUGCAAUCAACUGCUUAAUACACGUGAUAAUGUACACGUAUUACUUCCUGGCAGCCUGUGGACUGACCGUCCAAAAAACUAUUGCACCUAUAAAACGAUGGAUAACUAUAGCACAAAUGAUACAAUUCAUCGUGCUGCUACUGUAUGUAUCGCAUCCAUUGAUAUUCGGUUGCAAAGUCACAAGUAAUUGGCUCUUCAUAAUGUUUAUUACACAUUUAUUAAUAAACUUUUUCAAUUUCCUUAAAUUCUAUCAAACGUCGUACAAGAAAUAUAAAAAAAGUCAGUAGAUUAUAAAUUAUAAGUUGUACGAGUAGUUCUAUACACACAAAAAAUAAAUUCUUAUUUUACGUAUAUUUUUAUUCUUGAA